GAUGAACGUUGGCGGCGUGCCUAAUACAUGCAAGUCGAGCGAACGGACGAGAAGCUUGCUUCUCUGAUGUUAGCGGCGGACGGGUGAGUAACACGUGGAUAACCUACCUAUAAGACUGGGAUAACUUCGGGAAACCGUAGCUAAUACCGGAUAAUAUUUUGAACCGCAUGGUUCAAAAGUGAAAGACGGUCUUGCUGUCACUUAUAGAUGGAUCCGCGCUGCAUUAGCUAGUUGGUAAGGUAACGGCUUACCGAGGCAACGAUGCAUAGCCGACCUGAGAGGGUGAUCGGCCACACUGGAACUGAGACACGGUCCAGACUCCUACGGGAGGCAGCAGUAGGGAAUCUUCCGCAAUGGGCGAAAGCCUGACGGAGCAACGCCGCGUGAGUGAUGAAGGUCUUCGGAUCGUAAAACUCUGUUAUUAGGGAAGAACAUAUGUGUAAGUAACUGUGCACAUCUUGACGGUACCUAAUCAGAAAGCCACGGCUAACUACGUG
rnacentral:rRNA from 1 species